UUGCUUUGGUAACACAUACACUAAAAUUGGAGUGAUACAGAGAAGAUGCUAUGGCCCCUGAGCAAGGAUGAAUACAAAUUUAUAAAGCGUUCCAGAUUUUU
rnacentral:snRNA from 1 species